UUGUAAGGGCUGUUACUCUAGAGCCUUUGAUGUGACAUCAGAUUAACCCAGGACCCUUUGAUGGGUCCAGCCAUUCACCAAAUGUUCAUUGAGCACUUACCAAAAAGACACAAAGAUGAACUUUUCAAAGUUUCUACUUUUAGGGAGUUGAGAGCCCAAAAGCUCUGCAGCCUGUCCAAGUCACAGAAUAAACACCAAAUGCAGCUUCACUGACAUCAGCUGGAGCCCAACAAGAUUAAUGCUCUGUGCUCCCAUUCAGAGGCUUAUCUCUCUCGGCCACAGCCACAGUUUAAAUCCAAGUUAAAUUGUCUAAUCAAUUUUCAAAUGGAUGUGAUCAUCCUCCCCCUCCCACCUCCCCGAAUAUGAACCGAAGCUCUAGCAAAGGCACAGUAAAUGAAAAAGUGAAACUCAUUCAGUAUCUGCUGGUGGGUUAGAUUGCAGAAAGUGCGUGGGUGCUUGGGGGAAAUUGUGCAAGAGUGAAAAAGGCCUUUCAUCCUUCCUUGCGUGACCAAGAUGGAACUGGAGCAGGAAGAUGAAGCUGUUUCUCAGCAGCUUUAGUUUUAUGUCCGUCUCACUGCCCAAAAAACAACUCCUAACACUGAAAUCAUAGAGGAGAGCUGCAAAGGCUUCGGUUAAAGCGCGGGGCUGACUUUUCCAGCCUUAGACAAAAUAGUGUGUCCAAUGGAAAAAGCAGGGGCCUGGGAAUUAAGAGGCCUGCUUGAGACAAACAAUUCAAGUUGCCUUUGACAAACUGCAAUUAGACCUUACUUUGUUGUUGGUCAUUUCAGUUGUGUCUGACUCUGUGACCCCUUUAGGGUUUUCUUGGAAGAUCCUGAAAUGAUUUGCCAUUUCCUUUUCCAGCUGAUUUUACAGAUGAGGAAACUAAGGGAAAAGGGGUAAGUGACUUGCCCAGGGUUGCCCAGCUACUAAGUGUCUGAGGGCCAGUUUUGAACUUGGGUCUUCCUGCCUCCAGGCCCAGCACUCUACCUAGAUGCCUGGGACCUUCCUUUUACUUCUUUGUAGAAUGAGGAGUUUGGACUUUAUGACUGAUCUCUAAGGUCACGUCCAGGUUGAUGGAUUAAUGACUAGCUCUUGGCUAAAGGCAAAGCAAAUUAACUUCUGGCCAAAUCUCCAUCAAGGAUUCAGGAUUUGCUCAGGGUGUUACCGUAGUCGCCUUGGACAGCCCAGGCCCAGAGCUAGUGCUGUGUGAUCUCACUGUUUAUUUACACCUCCAGGAGGGGGCAGGCAGACCCAGGAAAAGAGAGAGAGAAGGAGACGUGCCAUCUGUCCAUUCUGCUAUGGUCCACGAGUGCCCACGGUGCUGCCAAAGGAGACUGAGAUUCUGGAAUAAAAUAAGCUCCAGGCUUUAAGUGACUCCAUUCCUACAAUGUGCAAGGCAAUCCGCAGGACACUGUAGGGAACAGAUUACUAGACCAUCAGACUCCCUGUUGUUACCCGUUACCAUAGAUAGAGGAUCACCAGGAAGGAGAAUAAGAACAAAGUUGUUUGGUUUGUUUUUUUAACUACUAUGACUGCAAUUAGAGCCGGGCCUUUGAGAUCAUCUAGUCCAGUCUCCCUAUUUUGCAGAUGAUGCUAAUGAUUUGCCCAAGUUCCCACGGUAUCAUUUGUUUUAAAAGAACUUGGACCACCUGCUGGUUCAGGGCUGGGGCUGGCAGAUCCAAGGCCAAGUCUAAUUCAUCCCUAAAGAUCGGACUACAUUACAGGAGAAAAGUAUGAUGAAUGUCACGGGUAGUAGUUUGCCCCACCUAAACCUCAUGGGCCAACAAGAUGACCCCAGCUCCCCUCUCCUCAAAGGAGAGCUCAUCUGGCUUUGUCCCAGGUACUUUACUAAAAGGAACGCAAAAUACCAAGCAACUUCCUCUUUCAUUCCUUUUCAUUCAGUCUCAAACACUGCACUAAUAGCACUGCUAAAAGAAACCACUUCAUUCUACACUGAAUAAUCGUAAAAAAUUAAUGGUCAAUAAGCAAAUUCAUUAGCUUCCCAUACAUGGAAGCUACUUUAUGAAGCAGAAUAAUGAGCACAAAUUAUUAAAUCCAAAACUUCCACCUGCAGAGUCCUAAUCUUAAAUUAAAAAAAAAAAAACACUUCAAGUAUGGAUGGACUUGAUCAGCAUAAAACAACUGAGAUCUGAAGCUUUGUGGCAAGGAGCCAUCACCGGAGGUGACACUACCAGUGAAGAUCUUUUCGUAGGAAAGGUUAGCGGGUCUCAUUAACAAACUGUUUCUUUUUAAAUGACAAUCAAAACCAAUUUGUCAUUGAAAAAAUUCCUUUUAUUUUUAUGAAACUUUACGGUUUGCAAAGCAUUUUCCUCAUAAACAGCCUUGGUUUAGGUAGUGCAAGUAUUAUUGUCCCCAUUCUACCAAAGAGAAAAUUGAGGCUCUGGGAUACUAAAUGUUCUACCGUGGUCUUAUGGCUAAUAAGAAUCUUGAUGAAACAGGAGACUUGAUUCUGAGGCUGGUAUAGAACAGACACAAUAAAAACUUUGUGAUUGAUAGAAAGAAAAGGAAAAGGAUGGGGGCAGGAGAAAACCAUCCAUGUGCAUGUAUCUUGGAAGCUUUGAUGCCAUAGAGAAGGAGGACAGAGUAGAAGAAGAGUCAUUGUCUCUGGAAAGUCACUGGAGAUAAAAUUCAAGAAAGAAGCCACAGGAAGCCCUCAAAGCCUCAAUAGAAAUGAUGCACGAAGCCUAGGAAAUAAGCCAUAAAAGCUGGAUGGCCUAAUGCAACCUCACAGGUAUCACUGACUUCACAGAAAGAGAACCAUGACUGCAACAGAGCUCUAGACAGGUAGACCUUCUUCAAAUGAGACAGGGAAAAUGUGUGUGCAUGUAUGCAGAAUGAAACAUGUUAUCUACAUGGUACAUGUAUAUUUACAUUCAAUUUAUAUAUAAUGAUUUAGAAAUAUGUUGCAUAGAUCUCUAAAUUACAUGUGUUUGUGUUUCCUUUGGUAGUAAGCACUUAAUACAGGAUUAUUAUUGGGUAUAUGUAUGUACAUGUAUAGUUCUAGAGAGGUCUACCUUCUUGAAACAAAAAAGCUAGAUAAAAUGAGAGGAUUGGCAUAGUAAAGGGAUAAUAAAUUUGUUCUUGUUGCUAUUGUUCAGUUGUUUUUCAGUCGUGUCUGACUCUUCAUAACCCUGUUUGGGGUUUUCUUGGCAGAGAAACUGAAGUGGUUGGCCAUUUUCUUCUCCAGCUCAUUUUACAGAUGGAGAAACUGAGGCAAAUAAGGUAAAGUGAGUGUCUGAGGUUUUGAACUCAUGAAGAUAAGAAUUCCUGACACCAGGUCCACACUCUAUGCUGAGCCACCUAUCUGAUGACAUAAUAAAAAAUGUUUUAUAUAUAUAGCAUUA